rnacentral:piRNA from 1 species
UCCACUUCUAUCUGCUGCUAUGCUCUGCCU